rnacentral:lncRNA from 1 species
AUGCUCGCACGCGAAAAUUUAUCUCUGAGGGUGGCUCCCACACCAAACAUCUCUGGUAUGGAAAGCGUUGGCCUUGUGUGGGAUUCACAGGAGAGUAUAGCCUUUCUACUGGUGUACCGUGCGCCUAAUGCACCAGUGGACAGCCUAUCACAGCUGCUAGAGGUUGUGUCGGAGUGGGCCUUGAGGUUCCCCAGGCUUAUUGUUUUGGGGGACUUCAAUGUCCAUGCUGAUGCAGGCUCCUUCUCCUCAGCAGCUGAAGACCUAGUGUCGACCAUGGCGACACUAGGACUCUCACUUUAUAAUACUGGGCCUACACAUCAGGCUGGCCACACACUAGAUUUGAUCUUUGGGGUUGGAAUCCAAGUGACCCUAAUCUCCAUUUCGGAGGUUCCAUGGUCGGACCACUGUGCCCUACGAAUCCAUAUAGAGCACACCAACCCACCCAACCUGGGCGCCAAACCUAUUUGGGUUCGCCCGAAGAGACUAAUGGAACCGGUCAGGUUCCUGAAUGCUCUAAAGGCCAUAGAACCUGUCAGCGACUCACUGGAGGUGCAAGUGGAUACAUGGAACACCAAAUUAUCCAAUGCACUCGAUGAGAUCGCACCUAGACGCCUUCUCCGACCCCGUAAGAAUCAGUCUCCUUGGUUCACUGAGGAGCUCCGUGCGAUGAAACGGGAGAAGAGACGGCUAGAGGUCAUGUGGCGGGAACGCCGUGAUGAGGAAUCGGAAUCAGCUUAUAAGAAGUCCAGAGAGUCUUAUGAGCAGACUAUCACCGAGGCAAAAAAGUCGUAUUAUGCUUCCUUGAUAGCGUCUGCAAGCUCACACCCAGCACAAUUAUUUAAGAUCAUUAGAUCCCUGACAAAGGUCCCUUCUGUUCCAAACAAUAAUGACCUGGCUCCUUCUGCUGAGGUUUUCCAGAGCUAUUUUGCAGACAAGAUCUCGCUUCUUCGUCGGGAACUCCCUGCCACGAUGGAUACAGUAACUGAACUUGAGACUCCGUGGCCACUCUCUGGGCCCAUCCUGGACCGGUUUACCCCGCUGGAUGCAGAGGCUGUCGACAGGAUCAUGACUGCAGCUAGGCCGACCACCUGCUCCUUCGAUCCGUGUCCCUCCUGGCUAGUAAAAUCCUGCCUAGAUGGAUUACGUGAACCUCUGUUGAAUAUAAUAAAUAGCUCCCUUGAGCAAGGAGUUUUUCCAGAGGGUUUAAAAGAGGCAUCAGUAUCUCCGCUGCUGAAGAAACCAGACUUAGAUCGUUCGCUUCCCGCUAGCUACCGCCCAGUGUCGGACCUUCCGUUUCUGGGCAAGCUGGUU